rnacentral:lncRNA from 1 species
ACGGAGUCUUCUUAUGAAAGAAACACGUCUCCCAAGGCUUUGGCUGCCAUAGGUAGUGAUUCCCGUGGUGACCUGGGCAAAGUCGUCUGAAAAUAUCUGGGAGAGGAUCGCCCCUCUAGCUGCCGUCAGAGCAGGUGUGACUCAUGGAAGAGGUUAAAAUAUCCACUUUAGUGGGAGUUUGGAAGAAACAGAUCCAGAUCGUCCUGGAUGACUUUGAAGGGUUCAAGACGUCAGUGGAGGAAGCAGCUGCAGAUGUGGAGCAAAUAGCAAGAGAACCAGAAAUAGAAGCCUGCAAACGUGACUGAACUGCUGCCAUCUCGUGAUAAAGCCUUAGCAGAUGAGGAGCUGCCUUUUAUGAAUGAGCAAAGGAAGUGGUUUCUUGAGAUGGAAUCAGCUCUGGUGAAGAUGCUGUGAAGAUGGUUGAAAUGACAACAACGGACUUAGACUACUCCAUAAACUGAGCUAAGCAGCGUGGGGCUUGAGAGGCUGAGUCCGACUUUGAAAGAAGUUCUAAUGUGGGGAAAACGCAAUCAGCAUUGCAUGCUACAGAGAAAUCGUGCAUGACAGGAAGAGUUAAUCGAUUUGGUAGCCUUCGUCGUGGUCUUAUUUUAAGAAAUUGCCACAGCCAGCCCAGCCUUCAGCAGCCCCCACCCUGAUCCAUCAGCAGCAUCAAUGUGCAGGCAGGACCCUCCACCAGCAAAAAGACUGUGACUCACUAAAGCCUCAGAUGAUUGUUCAACCUCUUUAGCAAGAAAAUAUUUUUUAAAAUUAAGGGUGUCAGUCCCUGCUGCAGGUGCCUGAGGCAGGUCAAGAUGGAAAGGCCAGCUCAGAUUCACCACCACCGAAGUGCCCGAAGCGACGAGAAAGUAUCCCCCACCUUGUAAAUUCGGCUUCACUCCACUUUGAUUUUGCAAAAGAUCUGCAUUAGUACCUGUUUUCACGAACCAAAAGAAAUCCGGGAGGACUUUCACUUUUACAGGAGAAGGGGAGAAGCAGAGCUGGCGUUCAGGGCUGGCUCUGCGGUUAGUCACUAUACCUAUACCGUCAGCGCCACCCCAGGCAGCCCAGUGGCCCGGGCAGUCUCCUUUCCCGGGGGCCAGCCUUGGUGUCAAGCCCCAGAGCUCCAAGCAGCGUCCGUGAGCAUCCGGUUCUCUCUUCAUCGGCGUGAUACGUCCAGGCAGUACGGCACGGCCUCAGACUGGGGAGUAAUUCUAACUCCCGUGACUUCGUCGUGCCUCGAAGUAGAAGUCUAGACAUCUGGAUUUGGACAUCUGGAUUCAUCCCUUGCUGUAUCCUCUAGGUUCUUUAAGGACACCGUCAAAGAUGGUGACCGACGCAGACCCUUGUAAAACGUCACAAGACUGGCAUACUUGUAGGUGAUAAGGACGGAGAAAUAAAACAUAGGAUCUCAGCCCGGCCUUACAGGUGCUGCCCAAAGUCACAACAUCUGGAGCGCAGCCUGGAGCUGAGACGCGGGGGCUCUGCCGUGAGCCUGCUCGGCCCGGCCCCGAGGCUGGGCGCUCUCAUCCGGACCUGCUUUGGUGCAGGAGAGCAGGAUGGCAGCGGCCGGGAGGUUUCGCAUCCAGACUGAGCCAGGGUGAAGGCCUCCGAGCAGCGGCAGUUUCUCCUUCCAGGGGGACCUUCAGCCCCUCCGUCCGCUUUCGGCAGGUGGUGUGUGCAUGGGGAGCACACGUCCCGAGGGCUUGGCUCCGGCUCUGCCAUUGACCGUCCCGUGACCCUGGGCUCUAACUUCUUGCUGAGCCUCCGUUUUCUCUCGGGCAAAAUGCAGGUGCUAAUCAUCCCCACUUCAUGGAUUGCUGGGAUCACAUCUCUGUUGUGGAAAACUUUAGGGUAAACUAAAGUGAGCUAGAGGCAGAACAUCGGGUCUGGGCCGUGUGUCUGCCGAUUGGCUAGUUUAACCUUGAGAAAAACCUCUGCCACUGCCUGCCCGUCUGUUUCCGGUCUCCAAGCCCAGAUCUUUCUCUUCGCAGGCCCCAGACACGCCCCUGGUACAUGGAGAUAUCUCAUACUGGCAAUAAUAUAACAUUUCUUUUAUUUGAUGAUGUUAUUGAAUAAUUUUUUAUUUUUAAUCUAAGCAAACACUUAAGUUUAAAAAAACUAGUAACUAUGAAUCUUAACAUAGAAAUGUUAGCCCCUGCCCGUCUUCCGCCCAGUGCCGAUCCACCACUUCCACUGCUUUUAACUGGUUUAUCUGGAAAUAGCUCUACAUGUCUAAACAGCAUCCUUACUCUACAAGUCUUGAUGAUUUUUAAGUUUUAAUUGUUACCUGUUGACUUCCUAGCAUGGGAAGAAAGGAUUUAACCCUCCCCUCCCGUCACGGACACAGACACACCCCUCCGCACCCCCCACCCUCCUCUUCCAUCCGUUCUGUAUGCGGAUCGUACGUUUUGGUGGGAUAUUCGGAUGUCACACUGGGUUCACAGUUAAGUCAGAUAACAUGUGUGAUGACACGCAGCUGCACGUCUUUGCGUACACAAAUUGUUUCCCUGAAGGUAAUAAUUGCAUUGCUUUCCUGUUUGCUGAGUGUUCUCCUGGUAUCACUCGUUCGGCCCAGAAUCUUUAUAAAAGUGUCGCAUGUCCUUUCACUGCACCCGCACACGUGUGCCAUCUCUCAGCCCCUGGAGCCCAUGUCUCUGGGGGUCCCACCUCCUUGGUUCCGCGCUGGGCUGGCCGCUCUCGAGACCCACCGCGUCACCGCAUCCCCGGGCUCCCGGGCCUGGGCUCCGUUCCCGUCCUCCUGGGGAACGCGGCCCCCCCCUCGCUCUGCUGUGGCUUCUCUGCCUCCUGGAUCCCGUGGCUUCUUCCUGCUUGUUUUCCUCCUUCGCUUUGUAGAAGCACGUUGUCCAGUAAUGUCUCCAAAAGAGGAAGGAUGGCUUUUGUUUCUGGAGGGUGCACACCUGAAACGGUCUUUAUUCCACGCUUCCAUGUGGUUGAUUAUUUGAUUGGACACAGAAUUACCAAUACAGCUCAGAAACAUUUUU